rnacentral:rRNA from 1 species
GGUUAAGCGACUAAGCGUACACGGUGGAUGCCCUGGCAGUCAGAGGCGAUGAAGGACGUGCUAAUCUGCGAUAAGCGUCGGUAAGGUGAUAUGAACCGUUAUAACCGGCGAUUUCCGAAUGGGGAAACCCAGUGUGAUUCGUCACACUAUCAUUAACUGAAUCCAUAGGUUAAUGAGGCGAACCGGGGGAACUGAAACAUCUAAGUACCCCGAGGAAAAGAAAUCAACCGAGAUUCCCCCAGUAGCGGCGAGCGAACGGGGAGCAGCCCAGAGCCUGAAUCAGUGUGUGUGUUAGUGGAAGCGUCUGGAAAGGCGCGCGAUACAGGGUGACAGCCCCGUACACAAAAAUGCACAUGCUGUGAGCUCGAUGAGUAGGGCGGGACACGUGGUAUCCUGUCUGAAUAUGGGGGGACCAUCCUCCAAGGCUAAAUACUCCUGACUGACCGAUAGUGAACCAGUACCGUGAGGGAAAGGCGAAAAGAACCCCGGCGAGGGGAGUGAAAAAGAACCUGAAACCGUGUACGUACAAGCAGUGGGAGCACGCUUAGGCGUGUGACUGCGUACCUUUUGUAUAAUGGGUCAGCGACUUAUAUUCUGUAGCAAGGUUAACCGAAUAGGGGAGCCGAAGGGAAACCGAGUCUUAACUGGGCGUUAAGUUGCAGGGUAUAGACCCGAAACCCGGUGAUCUAGCCAUGGGCAGGUUGAAGGUUGGGUAACACUAACUGGAGGACCGAACCGACUAAUGUUGAAAAAUUAGCGGAUGACUUGUGGCUGGGGGUGAAAGGCCAAUCAAACCGGGAGAUAGCUGGUUCUCCCCGAAAGCUAUUUAGGUAGCGCCUCGUGAAUUCAUCUCCGGGGGUAGAGCACUGUUUCGGCAAGGGGGUCAUCCCGACUUACCAACCCGAUGCAAACUGCGAAUACCGGAGAAUGUUAUCACGGGAGACACACGGCGGGUGCUAACGUCUGUCGUGAAGAGGGAAACAACCCAGACCGCCAGCUAAGGUCCCAAAGUCAUGGUUAAGUGGGAAACGAUGUGGGAAGGCCCAGACAGCCAGGAUGUUGGCUUAGAAGCAGCCAUCAUUUAAAGAAAGCGUAAUAGCUCACUGGUCGAGUCGGCCUGCGCGGAAGAUGUAACGGGGCUAAACCAUGCACCGAAGCUGCGGCAGCGACGCUUAUGCGUUGUUGGGUAGGGGAGCGUUCUGUAAGCCUGUGAAGGUGUGCUGUGAGGCAUGCUGGAGGUAUCAGAAGUGCGAAUGCUGACAUAAGUAACGAUAAAGCGGGUGAAAAGCCCGCUCGCCGGAAGACCAAGGGUUCCUGUCCAACGUUAAUCGGGGCAGGGUGAGUCGACCCCUAAGGCGAGGCCGAAAGGCGUAGUCGAUGGGAAACAGGUUAAUAUUCCUGUACUUGGUGUUACUGCGAAGGGGGGACGGAGAAGGCUAUGUUGGCCGGGCGACGGUUGUCCCGGUUUAAGCGUGUAGGCUGGUUUUCCAGGCAAAUCCGGAAAAUCAAGGCUGAGGCGUGAUGACGAGGCACUACGGUGCUGAAGCAACAAAUGCCCUGCUUCCAGGAAAAGCCUCUAAGCAUCAGGUAACAUCAAAUCGUACCCCAAACCGACACAGGUGGUCAGGUAGAGAAUACCAAGGCGCUUGAGAGAACUCGGGUGAAGGAACUAGGCAAAAUGGUGCCGUAACUUCGGGAGAAGGCACGCUGAUAUGUAGGUGAAGUCCCUCGCGGAUGGAGCUGAAAUCAGUCGAAGAUACCAGCUGGCUGCAACUGUUUAUUAAAAACACAGCACUGUGCAAACACGAAAGUGGACGUAUACGGUGUGACGCCUGCCCGGUGCCGGAAGGUUAAUUGAUGGGGUCAGCGCAAGCGAAGCUCUUGAUCGAAGCCCCGGUAAACGGCCGUAACUAUAACGGUCCUAAGGUAGCGAAAUUCCUUGUCGGGUAAGUUCCGACCUGCACGAAUGGCGUAAUGAUGGCGAGGCUGUCUCCACCCGAGACUCAGUGAAAUUGAACUCGCUGUGAAGAUGCAGUGUACCCGCGGCAAGACGGAAAGACCCCGUGAACCUUUACUAUAGCUUGACACUGAACAUUGAGCCUUGAUGUGUAGGAUAGGUGGGAGGCUUAGAAGUGUGGACGCCAGUCUGCAUGGAGCCGACCUUGAAAUACCACCCUUUAAUGUUUGAUGUUCUAACGUUGACCCGUAAUCCGGGUUGCGGACAGUGUCUGGUGGGUAGUUUGACUGGGGCGGUCUCCUCCUAAAGAGUAACGGAGGAGCACGAAGGUUGGCUAAUCCUGGUCGGACAUCAGGAGGUUAGUGCAAUGGCAUAAGCCAGCUUGACUGCGAGCGUGACGGCGCGAGCAGGUGCGAAAGCAGGUCAUAGUGAUCCGGUGGUUCUGAAUGGAAGGGCCAUCGCUCAACGGAUAAAAGGUACUCCGGGGAUAACAGGCUGAUACCGCCCAAGAGUUCAUAUCGACGGCGGUGUUUGGCACCUCGAUGUCGGCUCAUCACAUCCUGGGGCUGAAGUAGGUCCCAAGGGUAUGGCUGUUCGCCAUUUAAAGUGGUACGCGAGCUGGGUUUAGAACGUCGUGAGACAGUUCGGUCCCUAUCUGCCGUGGGCGCUGGAGAACUGAGGGGGGCUGCUCCUAGUACGAGAGGACCGGAGUGGACGCAUCACUGGUGUUCGGGUUGUCAUGCCAAUGGCACUGCCCGGUAGCUAAAUGCGGAAGAGAUAAGUGCUGAAAGCAUCUAAGCACGAAACUUGCCCCGAGAUGAGUUCUCCCUGACUCCUUGAGAGUCCUGAAGGAACGUUGAAGACGACGACGUUGAUAGGCCGGGUGUGUAAGCGCAGCGAUGCGUUGAGCUAACCGGUACUAAUGAACCGUGAGGCUUAACCUU